GCUGGGUGUGGUGGCGUGUGCCUGUAAUCCCAGCUACUCGGGAGGCUGAGGCAGGAGAAUUGCUUGAGCCCGGGAGGCAGAGGUUGCAGUGAGCUGAGAUCAUGCCACUGCACACCAGCCUGGGUGACAGAGCAAGACUCUGUCUCAA
ensembl:misc_RNA Metazoa_SRP Metazoan signal recognition particle RNA